rnacentral:rRNA from 1 species
AUGAACGCUAGCGACAGGCCUAACACAUGCAAGUCGAGGGGCAGCACAAGGAGCAAUCUGAGGUGGCGACCGGCGCACGGGUGAGUAACACGUAUGCAACCUGCCUGUAAGCGGGGAAUAACCCGUUGAAAGACGGACUAAUACCGCAUAAUACUAAAUUACUGCAUGGUAAUUUAUUUAAACAUUUAUGGCUUACAGAUGGGCAUGCGCAUGAUUAGCUAGUUGGAGAGGUAACGGCUCCCCAAGGCAACGAUCAUUAGGGGUUCUGAGAGGAAGGUCCCCCACACUGGUACUGAGACACGGACCAGACUCCUACGGGAGGCAGCAGUGAGAAAUAUUGGUCAAUGGACGAGAGUCUGAACCAGCCAAGUCGCGUGCAGGAAGAAUGUCCUAAUGGAUUGUAAACUGCUUUUGCAGGGGAAUAAAGUGCAUCACGUGUGAUGUUUUGUAUGUACUCUGCGAAUAAGGAUCGGCUAACUCCGUGCCAGCCGCAGC